rnacentral:tRNA from 1 species
UCUAAUAUGGCAGAAUAGUGCAGUGAACUUAAGAUUCAAAAAUAAAGGACCCCUUUUAUUAGAA